rnacentral:lncRNA from 1 species
AUUUGUUUUUGUGUGCACAAUAAUAUAAAAGACAAUUGUUGCUUUUAUUUCAUUUGAAAUUUAUUUCUCUACACAGAAAUACCAUAACAUAUGUACAAAUAUAAGAAUAAUGUUUCAGAAUAAAUGUUUUUUUUUCCUAAGCACUGAAAAUUUCAAGAAUAUUUAUUUUUUUCUCUUGUAGUACACUAUGCAUUUUUUGGUAAUUUAUUAAUUAUUUAAAUUUCAAUUAAUUGUAGAAUCGAAUUUUUCCUGUGUUUCAACUAUAUUAGUCCAACCACUAUAAACAACUCUCAUUUGAAAAUAGAAUGUUUACGAUCGGGGGCGUGUUUGUUUAAAAAACACAAAGCAGAAGACAAUAAGCUGUGCGAAGCAAUAACAUCAGAUGUUAUACAUUAUCUGCUUGAGCAGACAUUGUAAUAUAAAGCAAAGUUGUUUAAAGCAAUAAUGAUUUGAUUUAAAAAAAUAAUAAUAAUAAAAAUAUAACUAAUUUUCUUGGUGACAGAAGUGUAAUUGAAUUUGGAAUUUAAUACAGGUUAAGCACACUAUAAUACUUUGACACAGAACGUUAGCAAAAAAUAAUAUGUAAUAUGAAAACAUGUAUAAUAAUCGAAAGCCGGAGACAGAUGUAAACAACUGGAACGAAGUGAGACAUGGUCAUGUCGCUUCAUACUAACAAUCAGCUGGUAUGACAAUGUUGCAACACCGCCAUGUGGGGGGUGGGGAAGUGGGGUGCUGUAACUGCUCAUACAGCAAGCUUGCAAUGAUGUGCCUUGUACUAUAGCUAUGGUCAGGUGGUUUGUCCAUACAUUGUAACUAAUGCUAUUUUUGUCAGCAGCGCUCCGUCUUGUGUUCGUAAUUGUUUUGAAGUAAAUAUAUUGUCUUCAUUGAUUCGUAUUUUUAUAUUUAUAUAAUUAUAGUGGGUGGAAAGAGUAAGUUCUGAUACCAAUUGAUGUGUUUUAUGCAGUAAUUUUAUAUAUUACUGCAUUUUAUUAAUUUUUUUUAUAUUUUUUAUUUUAUUAUUAGUAAUUUUAUGCAGUAUUUUUAUUUUAUUCUGUUUGAUAAGAUCCUCGCACAGGCCAGUGGCCCAUGAGGACGGACAGAAUAAGGCCUAAAAGGGGAUCGGCCUCUCCUUUAAAAAUAAAAAAUAUAAUUUUCCUUGGUAUAAAAAAAAUAUAAUUUUUAAGUGCUAUUUCCAGUUUAUGUACUAUACUUCAUAUUAACACGUUCAUGGCGACGUGUAUCCUAUAAAAUGCACGCAAUCUUUCACAACUGAUGUUGUGUACCUGGUCAAGUACACACCGGGCUUUUGUAAAGUGCGUUGUGCGCUCGAUGGGAUACACAUUGCUGUGCACUUCCUUAUUGCUUUUUAUUCUUUACCUGUGUUGGAGAUUGUUAAAUUUGAUCUUGCGCUUAAUAAAUAAAUACCUCAGAUUAUCAUGUACCCCAUCGGGAGCAUAUUAUAUUAAUUUUUAAGGUAAAUGAAUUUUUUUUAAACCCCUAGGGGUACACGAAGAAACAAUAAAAAAAUAUUCAAAUAAUUUUUUUCUGAAAAAAUUGCAAAGCCUACAUACUUUUCUUGAUUAUACUUAACUUUCUUGUUUAAUCUAAAACACAUGGUAUUUGCCAUUAUUAUUGACAAAUUCUACGGCAAAUAAGCCAUCAUCGUGAAUGUGUUAAACAAAAUAAACCAUAUGAAACUAUAUUAUAGUUUCUGAAACCGGAAUAAAUUUUGAACAUUUUGCUGUAUUGUGAUUUUAAAUUUAUCUACCUAAUUAUUGUUCCUAGCUGUACGCCCAGAACCUUUUUAUUUUUUACAACCGGUUUCAUAACUUUGAAUUACAAGGACAAUCUUAAUUACUAACAUUUAGGAUUCAUAUUAAACGUAACAGUAUUCUCUAGUUAAUUGUGAAAAAUUAUACCAAAUAUGCAUAUGUUUACAUUAAACAAAGAUUGUUAUACACUUUAUAAAAAAAGUCUGCAAAUCAUCCAAAAAGAGCCUGUGAGUUAAAGGAAACCAACUGCCAGUAUGCUAUAGGAUCAUCUUAUUAAUCCGGUUCAGUCGGUCUCGUUCACUGCUGCGAUUCAUUCAUUUGAACCGGUCAGUACAGAGUUACUGAGCCUUCCCACUAAAGCGUGUUCAUAGUGUUGACCGAACAAAAUGAACGACUGAAUGUAACGACCGAGUGAACGAAAGGAUCUGUUUGUAAAAAAGUGUUCAAAUAGAAGAAGGAACAGUAUAUUGUACAGUAAAUUUAUAGAUACAUAACAAUAAAUUAAUGUAUUGUCUCAGGAAUCUAGUCAAUGUAAAUAGAUCUAUUAAAACUGAUAAAAAUGUAAAUGUAAGUUACCAGAUACAUUACUAAAUAUUUUAAAUGUUAAUACUUAUUAAUCAAUGGACUUGAAUGAUUGAUAUGCCUUUGAUUUAUCAUAUAAGUAAGGUUAUUCCCUUACAAAUGUUGUAAAUAAAUUACUAGAAAUUAAACUGACAUAUUGCUGGUUUGAAAAUAAUUUUUUGUUAUAAAUAACAAGAUAUUUUAUAUCCAACCGAUUAACUUCCACCACUUUUCACUUUCCCUAUUCCCCCCCCCCCCCCGUUGAGUUAUAUGAUUACGGUUUUAUUCUUAAUCAGUUAGCAGUGAACAAAACGAACAACUGAACAAUUUUGGGGACCUAGUGUAACUUAAAGCAUAAACUUUAUAGUUUUAGAUAGUUAGGUGAUGUUAGGUGAACUUAAUUAUAAUAUUGUAAGUUUUAACGAUUAUUAAAAAUAAUGUAUCUGAUUUGAAAAAAAUAUUAAAUUGAUUAAGUGAAUGGAUCUUUUGAAACACUUUGAUCCGAAUCACUAGUUCACUUGACUGGGUGUUUGAAUCGAACUGGUCAAAAACGAACGACACAUCUCUACUGGCCACUGCCACUGCGCGGCUAACCUCACAACAAAAUGCAAGCACCCUGGAUACGUCUAUGGCUACAUUAAUCUGUUAAAUUAAUAUUUUAUGCUUAGGCUGCGACACUUGUAUAUGUCUGCACACAAAAAUAUAAUGUAGUUAUAGAGCAGGAAAAGUAGCUGCAGUGUAAACAAAACUGUGUGAGCGAGACACGAUCCUCACAGCUGAUAAACAGAUACAAGAAGGUGCUGGUCCUACUCUCCACCACAACCCCCCCCCCCCUUCAGAACUACUGCUCUGAAAUUUGCUUCUGCGCAGGUUUCCUUGCAAGCGGUUUAUCUAUAGUAGGACUCAUUGAACAUUAACACCUCAUGAAGAUUGAAAUCUUUCAAGGACAUCACAUUUGGCAAUCAACUGGGUUUGUAAAUUUAUAAAAUUAUAUUUUUGUUUUCUCAUAAUUCUUUGAGGAGAUAGAUUUUCUCUCACCAGUUUCUUUGUACAAAAAUACCACAAGAGCAAUCUGUCUUGCGUCUAGUUGAAUCUGUGGUUUUUAUUACUUGAGUAUGAUAAGUGCUCUAUCUUAUUGGGUAAUAACUGUUCUGUUAGUCAAAAACACAAAUUAUGUAAUAAUUAAUUCGUUUUAUUAAAAGUUUAAUAAAAAAUUAAAUUAUUGGAUAACACAUUCAUUAUGUACUUACUGUCUGUUUGUUGUAUAUUUGGUAGUUUUUCAACGUUUCGAACAACUGAUUUGUAAGCUAAACAUAGUUUACUGCAAGAUUUAGUUGUGCUUUAUAUAAUGUAAAUUAUGGUACUAUGAAACUACAUGUAUUAUAAUAUUAAUAUUACAACAGUGGCAGUUUUGGGUUAUGUUAAUUUGGCAGAAGUGACUUGGCUAUUGAAUGAAUAUUUUUGUAAGUUCUACAUAUCAAUUAUUAAACACUUUUUUAGGGUUUUGCAUCUUACAACACGUUUCGCACAUGCAAUUUAGUCAACAGAGUCUGUGAUUCACUCAGUCACUGCAUAUGAUAAUUUGAUGUGUAUUUUAAAGUUUAACACCUUCACUGCGGCUCUAUACUAAGUGAUCUUGGCUAUUCUCAAUCUGGUUCUGCGCUGUAAGAUGUCUGCCACAGUUAACGUGUUAACAUAAUGAUUAUUCAUAAAGUAAUUUAAUAAUUCCUGUUACUAAUAAGGCAAAGUGCCUUAAACGAUUUAUUCAGAAGUGCCUGAUUAUGAAUAUUUAUCUUUAUUGUUUAAUAAAGUAAGUGUGAAAGUCAUUGUAUUUUAAUACAAAUGUUUUAUACAAUAUGAACAAUUAAAUGUAAAAUAUAUUUUAUUUGUACUGUUGUGUUUCAAGAAAGAAUAGAUAUCAA